rnacentral:rRNA from 1 species
GAUGAACGCUGGCGGCGUGCCUAAUACAUGCAAGUCGACAACAGCGGCGGACGGGUGAGUAACACGUGAGUAACCUGCCCUUUUCUUUGGGAUAAGCCUGGGACAUUGGGUCUAAUACUGGAUGGAUUGGGAUGGGCUCGCGGCUUAUCAGCUUGUUGGUGGGGUGCUGGCUUACCAAGGCUGUGACGUGUAGCCGGCCUGAGAGGGUGGUCGGUCACACUGGGACUGAGAUACGGCACAGACGCCUACAGGAGGCAGCAGUGGGGGGUAGUGCACAAUGGACGAAAGUCUGAUGCAGCGACGUCGUGAGGGAGAUGAAGGCCUUCGGGUUGUAAACUCCUUUCGCCCGCAGAAUGGUAGUGGGUAAAGAAGCGCCGGCUAACUACGUGCCAGCAGCCGCGGUAAUUC